rnacentral:ncRNA from 1 species
AUAUGAAAAAGGCAAACUUUCCGAAAGGUUAGGACGCAAAGCCUAGGGUCUAAGGUUAAAAAACUACGAUCGCCUGGCUACCAAG